rnacentral:rRNA from 1 species
GGAUAAUCGGGAGAAAUUCCGUCUAAUACGGCAUAAUGCAUCGACGGGACAUCCUGUUGGUGCCAAAGGUUGAUUCCGGUGGCGGAUGGGCAUGCGUCGCAUUAGUUAGUUGGCGGUGUAACGGACCACCAAGACGACGAUGCGUAGGGGUUCUGAGAGGAAGGUCCCCCACACUGGUACUGAGACACGGACCAGACUCCUACGGGAGGCAGCAGUGAGGAAUAUUGGUCAAUGGGCGGGAGCCUGAACCAGCCAAGUCGCGUGAGGGAUGACGGCCCUAUGGGUUGUAAACCUCUUUUGCCGGGGAGCAAAGUGCCGCACGUGUGCGGUUUGGAGAGUACCCGGAGAAAAAGCAUCGGCUAACUCCGUGCCAGCAGCCGCGGUAAUACGGAGGAUGCGAGCGUUAUCCGGAUUUAUUGGGUUUAAAGGGUGCGUAGGCGGACGCUUAAGUCAGCGGUAAAAUUGCGGGGCUCAACCUCGUCGAGCCGUUGAAACUGGGUGCCUUGAGUGGGCGAGAAGUACGCGGAAUGCGUGGUGUAGCGGUGAAAUGCAUAGAUAUCACGCAGAACUCCGAUUGCGAAGGCAGCGUACCGGCGCCCAACUGACGCUGAAGCACGAAGGCGUGGGUAUCGAACAGGAUUAGAUACCCUGGUAGUCCACGCAGUAAACGAUGAAUGAUAGUUGUCCGGGGCGAUUGAGUUCUGGGU